GAUGAACGCUGGCGGUGUGCCUAAUACAUGCAAGUCGAGCGACAACACGAGAAGCUUUUUCUCUUGCGGUUAGCGACGGACGGACGAGUAAGACAUACAUCACAAUCUUCUUUUUCUGGGAUAAUUACGUGAAACAACUGAUACUAAUGCAUAAUAUGACGUACCGCUUGGAUCAACAGAGCUUGACACCUUUGCCGUUUCUUUUAGCUGGUUCCGCGUUGCAUUAGCUAGUUGGUAAGGUAACGGCCUACCAAGGAAACGAUGCGUAGCUGACCUGAGAGGAUGAUCAGCCACACUGGAACUGAGACACGGUCCAGACUCCUACGGGAGGCAGCAGUGGGGAAUCUUCGACAAUGGGCGAAAGCCUGAUGGAGCAAUGCCGCGUGAGUGAAGAAGGUCUUCGGGUUGUAAAGCUCUGUUGUUGGGAAAGAAAAGAAGUAGGUGAAUCCAUCGACGUUUUGACGGUACCCAAAGAAAAAGCAACGGCUAACUUCGU
rnacentral:rRNA from 1 species